rnacentral:lncRNA from 1 species
GAAAAAGCAUAAACAAGAGAUUAAUAUAACAUGAAAGAAAACUUGAACAUUACAAAGAUAUAAAGAGAGAAAACAAGAACAUGAUUUUGAUCUGAAAAAUAAUAUAUCUAAAUACAUGGCUAAUGCCUCCUUUUAUAGGCUAAGAUUCAGAACUAUUGAUUGGUGGACUAAGAAAAUAGUUGGUGGCCAACCAUUGAUUUGGUGGCUGGUUUUUGACAUUAUUGGCUGCUGGUUCUUGAAAUUGUUGGCAGAUUUUUGAUAUUGUUGGCUGGCCAAAACGUCAUUGCUAACAUCAGAAUUUGAGCCCUUUGUUCCAUGAAAGCUGUGGGCAAUUGUCUCAGCUUUCCAACAAAAAAAACCAGAGCUCAUUUGGACUUCUAGAACUCAAGAUAUGAGCUGAAAACCGAACAGUGUUUGAGCUGCAGGACAGGUUCCGACUUCUCCGUUGUUGCUAAUAUUUGAACUUGGAAACGGCAGAAUUGAGUUUUGGACCCUUAAUGAAAGUUUUAGGUCUAUGUCUUAUCUUUCCAUCCAUAUAAAGUGGACCCAAAUCCGAGUUCUACAACUCCAGUUAUGAUCAAAUAACCGAAUAGUGUUCCAGUUUGGAAUUGAACCAGCAUCUCUUCUCUUAGCCUAAUCCUCUUUUUGUCUCUUCACUUUCAAUUGUUAAUCACAGCAAUCAAUCCUUUGAAUUGUGAGAUAUACCUGCAUUCAAAACAAGCAUUUACCAUAAAUUAAAGAUAUAUUAUAUUAUUAGACUUGUUAUUAUAAAACAUGCUUUAGUUAGGGAAUUUAACGAUACUUUAGUGCAAUACGAUGAUAUAAAGCCUUAAUGAGAAUGCACUUUUAAGUACUAAUCA